UACGAAGGGAGCUAGCGUUACUCGGAAUCACUGGGCGUAAAGCGUGCGUAGGCGGUUUUGUAAGUCAGAAGUGAAAGCCUGGGGCUCAACCCCAGAAUUGCUUUUGAAACUGCAUAACUAGAGUGUCAUAGGGGAUAGCGGAAUUCCUAGUGUAGAGGUGAAAUUCGUAGAUAUUAGGAGGAACACCGGUGGCGAAGGCGGCUAUCUGGGUGAACACUGACGCUGUUGCACGAAAGCGUGGGGAGCAAACAGG
rnacentral:rRNA from 1 species